UAACAAGGUCUCCGUUGGUGAACCAGCGGAGGGAUCAUUACUGAGUACUACACUCUCUACCCUUUGUGAACUAUUAUACCUGUUGCUUCGGCGGCGCCCGCGAGGGUGCCCGCCGGUCUCAUCAGAAUCUCUGUUUUCGAACCCGACGAUACUUCUGAGUGUUCUUAGCGAACUGUCAAAACUUUUAACAACGGAUCUCUUGGCUCCAGCAUCGAUGAAGAACGCAGCGAAACGCGAUAUGUAAUGUGAAUUGCAGAAUUCAGUGAAUCAUCGAAUCUUUGAACGCACAUGGCGCCUUCCAGUAUCCUGGGAGGCAUGCCUGUCCGAGCGUCGUUUCAACCCUCGAGCCCCCGUGGCCCGGCGUUGGGGAUCUGCCACGGCAGGCCCCUAAAACCAGUGGCGGACCCGAAGGCCCUCUCCUUUGCGCAGUAGCAUCAGCCUCGCAUUGGGAUCCCUCGGCGUCCUGCCUCUAAACCCCCCACAAGUCCGCUCCGGCGGCACCAAGGUUGACCUCGGAUCAGGUAGGAAUACCCGCUGAACUUAAGCAUAUCAAUA
rnacentral:rRNA from 1 species